GUGAGCCAAACGUAGCCCUGCGAUGAGUGCUUCGUAUUCAGCCUCGUUGUUUGAGGCGUGGAAUUCCAGCCUGAACGAUUGUUCCAAGAUCUCGCUUGUUAGAGAUGUGAGACGGAUUCCGAUACCCGAUCCCUGCUUGGAUGAGGAUCUGUCGACGUGGAGGUGCCAGGUGGAAUUUGGUUCCUCGUUGGUUAUGGUCCCCGUUGGUAGUUCGACCAAGAAUUCUGCGAGCACUUGUGAUUUUGCGCUCGUCCUUGGUCGGUACUCGAUAUCGUACUCG
rnacentral:lncRNA from 1 species